UGGACAUAGAUGCUUUACCCAAAUCAUACUAAUUAAUUAUCCUUAGACCAAAUUUAGCUCAACUUGUAAAGAUCUUACUGUUGUAGGAAAAUACGGAUGUAAAUGUGGAUUCCUUGUGUGAAAAUUUUUUGUGGAUUGUCUGGGAUUAAUAGGAUAAAAUUGGGUGAAAGUUUUAAAUUGGAGGUCGAUUUGCUUGAAUAGGUGUGUGAUAAGGGGCAGUGCACUAAUCAAGGCAUAUGUUUUGAAAUUUAAAAUUUUUCUAAGGGGCUUUUAUAACUCGAGCAAUUAAGCAUACAAGGGUAUCUUAAAACCUGGUGCCCCAAAGUCAUCUGACUUGGGAAUCAUUGGCUUAAAGCUCAUUACAAGGGUCGUUUAAAAAGCAAUCAGAGAUGAAAUUCCCUAAAUAAAUAAAAAAAAUUGUUUUCUUCGGAGCCUUUUUUACUCGGGUUAUUAAGCCUGUAAGGGUAUUUAAAAAUCUGGUGCCCUAAAGUCAUCUGAUUUGGGAGUCAUCGGCCUAAAGCCUGCUACAUGAGUCAUCUAGAAAGCUUAAGGGAGACUGCCAAAAAAAUACUAAAAACUAAAAAGAAAAAAAAAAGUACUAAAUGCCUUGUAAGUCCCAACACUUGUUUGAGGGAACUUGACCUUCGAUAAAUGAUAAUUAAACUAAUUGAAUCUUGACAGUCGAAGCAAUCAAAUAAUUUGAGAAUCCUUAUUCAUUGAUGUGUUAACUUGCAAUUAGUGACAUCCACCUGAAUUGGAGAGGUGAGGAUAGUGAUAAAAAUUCAAUCUUAGAUCACACACUGGAAAAAGAGUGUGAAAAUGAAUAUGUGGGGGUGUGUAAAUCUUAC
rnacentral:lncRNA from 1 species